ensembl:lncRNA
CAAAGACCUUGGAAAAUCUCCCUGCCUCCAGCAGCUCAUCCUUCCCUCUCUAACAUACUUACUCCUUGCAGGCUGUCCCAGCUCCUCAUAGCCAUCUGCCACCACUGGCAGGUGAGGAGCGAGGAAGAGGAGCCAAGCGGGGACAGGAGAAGAAGGUCACAGUGGGGGCGGCGGGGAAGAUGGCUGUGGAGAUACCUAGUAAGCAUCAAAGACUUCAGAGUUUUACUGAACACUAAACUUCAUAUUUCUUUGAAGAUCCUCCCUAGAUUUGUAAGUUUGAAUAAUAAUCAAAUACCUAUUUCAAUUAAUUUCAUUUCAUGCCCAAAGAUUCAUGGAUUUAUUAAUUAAAAUGAUAUAAGGAAACCUGUAUAUUUGAAGGGUCAAGCCACUAGGGUAUACAAUGUUUUGGCCUACGACAAUUUGAAAAUAUUGUAGUUAGUUUCUGAAAGCAUUGGAAAUAUCACUGUACAUUUAUUAAUCAUAUUUUUUGUAGUCUGAAUUUCCCUGCUAAUUUAUUUCUGCUAGUG